UGUUUUCUUCUUUAUAUAUUAAUAUAUAUAUAUAUAUAUUUUUUUUGAGACAGGAUCUUACUAUGCUACGCAGACUAGCCUUGAUCCCACUCUAUAGCCCAGCAGGCCUUGAACUUGCUAUCCCUGCCUCAGUUUCCCAAGUAGAUGGGAUAUUAAGCCUGUGCCCAUAGGCUUGCCCCAGUCCCCAUUUUAACAAGGACCCAGAACCCAGGUCUUCAGCUCCUCUGGCAUCACCUUAUCCACAUACUCCCCCAUCACUGACAUGUGGGCUUCACCUACUUCCUAUUUGCAACACUGGCCCCUCUACAACAGAUUUAUUGCCUAGGCAUGGACCCCUAUAGCCCAGAGUUCUGUUCUCAUAUGGAAGGGGUCAGGUACACUUUCUGGUGUAGCGCACACACAGAUCUGGCUACAUGAACACACUACUCAACACCCCGCCCCCGAUGAACAAAGGCCCAAGCUCACAUGACCACUCUGAGGACACAUCUUCAUGGUCGUCAUCAGCUCGUCCACAUACCCAGAAUCUUGCCUUUGUGACUGAACUAGCAUCCCACCUCUAACUAGCCAAGGGCAAGGCCAUGAGGGGCCUGGUCCAGCGAAGCCUAGGACAAAUCCACCUGGGUCAGCUCCAGCGCCAGCUGAAGAAAAACAGCUCUGUGAAUGGUGGGCGGGGAAGUGGACUCCUCCCCAACCAGGGGCAGGGCUCCCAUCUCCAACUCACCCUCGGGCAGGAAGCUUCUGGAUCCCCGAAAUGGGGAGCACAUGGUGUCUGAGGUUGAAACAGGCCGGGAUCGGAGUGGCCCUUGGUGCCAGCCCAGCAACAGGGCAGGGAUCUAGACCCUGAGGCCUGACGCAAUGGAAAAAGAAACCACAGCCUGGUUGGGCCAGCCCCCUCCCCUCCCUCAGUAGAAGGCAGCAAGGUGUCAUUAAGGAGGGGGUUGGGUCUGUGUGAGCAUUGGGCAAGAUGGAAAAGCUCCAGGACAGCACCAUCUGCAGGUAAUUUGGGGUUUGGAGCUGGAGGAGGGGGUGCAAGCAGCGAGAGCCUCUCCCAAGGAUGAUAGGAUUCUUAGUACAGGUGUGGGCACAGGCCCCUGAGAAAGAGCUUGGAGUUAGGGAUCCAAAACCAGUAGGUCCAUUUCUGGGAGAGCUAAUUGAGGCAAACGGAAGGCAGGACUUGGCAAUGACCUGUCAGUGGUCACAUAUUCAUUCAACAAACAUUCCUUAUAUAUCCUAGGAUCGCAGUAACAAGGUAGUGAGUGUGGUAGAGCAGCUCAUGGUGGCACAGCACUCAGGAAGCAGAAGCAAGAGGGUCAUGAGUUCAAGCUCAGACUGGGCUAUAUACAGUGAGACUGUGUCUAAAACGUAUAGACCCACCCAGACCAUGCGUCUUGCCCUUGAGAGAAGAGUGGACUCCGGCGACAUCAGAACUGAGCUACAUAUCUAGAGAAUUGUGGUUCUGGUCGGAACUCUAGUCAUUCAUGGCCAAUGACUCCCUGCCCUCCCUCUCUCAGGGCCCAUGGAACAGCCUCUUCCCACUCCUGGCCUCCUGCCUCCACUCCCCCCGCCAUAGCCAGGCAAGCUGCUGUGAAAUCUCUUCCGAAGUACCUCAGUAACUUUCCCCUGUGCAGUCAGAGGGACAACGGUCAUGUAAGUCAAGUGCCACCACAGAAUCUUCCGGAUGUGACCCUUCCGGAUCGCAAGUCCUUGCAUCACCCCAGGUUGAGGAAGUCAGGCCGAGUUGAUGGCUUCCAUGCCGUUCUCCCACGUUCUCAGCCAAGCUUCACUGGCUUCCAGUCCGAUUUCAAGUAAGCCCACCUCCCCUUCAGCACUUGUGGUUCCAUUCGCUGAAAACACUUUUCUUCUCUCGCAAGGUCCCCGUUGUCAGCGUUCUCGGAGGUCUGCCACAAUCACGUAAGCCAAUGUGAUCCGUCUCCACACCCCACCAUUUCUUUAAGUGAUCGCAACUUAAAUGUAGAACUCUUUUACACAUUCCCCCAUAAGCUCCCGUGAUGUAGUUCUCAAGGGAGGCUCUGGCACCGACACCUGCCCCCCAGCAUGAAUGCAGGUCUGUGUACUCUGAACACCCAGUGAGCACAGUAAAUGGACCAGGAGUCAGGAGCCCAGCGGCUGGCUGCUCCUCUGUAUCUCUCAAAAGCUAAAGCUACCUCUUCAGCCUUGGCUCUCACAGCCUCUGAAAGAUCAGAGAGAGACACACACACACAGGGAUACAAGAAGAUCCAAGCAGAGGCCCAAGACGGGGUAAGGGACAGAUGGAGCCCAAGCCCAUUGACAGGGCAUAGGUGCUUUAUGUGGUUGAGGGACCUCUGCAGCUAAAUCCGAUGCAGGGAUCCCGACUCUGAGGUGGUGGUUACAGGAGACGCCAAGUGAGGCAGGCUCAGGAGACAAUGGGUUGCAGGGGAUCCAGACAGAGGCAAGAGUGGAAGGCAGACAAGGAGAGAUCUAAAGGGGCCCAUCAGCUGCUGCUCAGGCCCAAGAUUCUCAGCCGUGAGGCUCUAGGGACAGGAGGCCCUGUGGGCCUACCAAAAACACUCCUAGUAGGAUGCCACAGGUACUGUCAAAACAACAUGCCUGAGGUUGCAGAGAUGGCUGAGUAGGGAAAGGGCUUACCACACAAGCAUGGGGACUUGAGUUUGAAUCCCCAGAACCCUAUAAAGGCAAGUUGUGGCAGUGCGUGACUACAAGCCCAGUGCUUCUAUGGUGAGAUGGUAGGCGGAGACUGGAGUCUCUCCAGAAGCUGACGGGCCAGCUAGCCUGGUAUACACAGCGACAAACAACAGGUAGAAAGGGGAUGACACUUGAGCUUGUCCGCUGACCUCCACAACAAUGUGUGGUAUUUGGAAGAUAAAAAAGAAAAAAAAAUUCUGUUUUCAAUGCAACCUCUAAGGAGCAAAGUGUUGCAAAGCCUUGCUAAUGACAGUCACCCAGACAUUUUUGGGCCUCUGACCAGUAUGGAGUAGCAGUUAAAUGCAUUGACCCUGGGCGUAGUAUCCUGCCUGUGAGCCUCUGGUUCUGCCAUUUCUCCGCUGUGUGACCUCAGGAUUAUGACUUACUUAAUCUCUCUCGUUCAGUUUUGCCCUCUGCAAAAAAGAAGGCAGCAAGGUAUGUUCCUGGGCUGCUCGGAGGAUUAAGAUAUUUGCUAUUAGAGCGGUUCCUAAUCUCUGGGGUGGAGUCAAAGGACCAAACAAACAAAUAAACCAACAAAAACAAAAACCAGGUGAUGUGCAGCCAAAGGAAAAGGGCAAGGGACUAAAACUGGUUGGAACGCACGGUUCUCUGUUACCCUCGUCUGCUGUGGGCACAGUGUACCCUGUCAGUUAGGCCAAGAGUGGAGGAUGGGGCCAGGGAGUUGAUUAGACACUGGAGAAUUUGGUGAUAGUCCUGGAGGUUUCCGGCGAACUCUCUGGCUUUGACACCCUAAGGGUGACAGAAGCCACAGGACCUGGUGGGCGCCACCUUCUAAGGACUGUAGCUCUUAGCUUGGGGCUUCCCUGCUCCUAGCAUGGUUCCCAGAAAGCACUAGCAGUGUACUAUCUGGCCCCACCCAGACCUGCUCCAUCAGAAGCCCUAGGGAGACACCCAACAACCCUGUAUGAACAGGCCCGCAGGCAAGGCGGAGGAGGCCAAGCACACACAAACCACGGGUUUGGCAGGCAGGUGCGGUUUCAAACAUGCUCCCUAGAGUGAUCUGGAAACUGCCCUCCUGCGGCAGGAUGGGAGCAAGGAGGCAGGCACCUGAGGCUGGGACAACGCCUUGGGGAUAGCUCUACCUUGGCCUGCACGUGGCCUAGUUAAGCAGCCGUGAUGCUUGGUUUCCAUAUAAGCCCUGCCACUCCUGGUUUAGAUAGUAAUUUUCUACUAACUAGAACCCUCAACUAACCAGUCGCUCACUCCUUGCCUGCUGGCCCCUAGGGCUGCUAAGUCCUCAAGGUUCCCUCGGAGUCUUGGGAUGGGUCUCGAGGGCAUUGUCAUCCCACUGACCAGAUGCAAUCCCAGAUGCCAAGGCGCAGGAACUCAGAGGGCAAGCGCAUCGUCAGGACCCUCCAGAGACAUGGAGAUGGUAGCUUGUCUGCAUCUAUACAACAAGAGGCUGAUUUUAAAGAAUCAGUUCAUCGGACCACAACAGGGCUCAGUAGAACCAAGCGCAGUAUCACCGUGUACCAGGCCCAUCCCGAUCCUUAUGACGGUCAAAAUUGCAGAAAGCUGACAGGUCUCGUGCUGCCGAGAAUGCAGAGUGACCAGAACUCCUACAGUUUGCCAGAGGCAGUGGGAUCUGGUGCAAACCCUUCAGGAGAAACAUCUGGCAGGGCCUGCAAGCUAACUCCCGACACGGACGUCCACCAAAGGACCCACGGGACGACAGCCACGGCGGCACUGUCUGUGUUGCUACCCUGAUCCAAGAUCAGCAGUUCAUGUGUCAGCAUGAAGGAGGAUAUGCUCUCCCUACUGGACUCCUUACGUGAGGUUAAGUGUGGACAAAAGAAGCCUACACCGUUGAAAGGGAUGACAAUGGUGACAGGCCGCAGGCAGCAUAAAGCAGAUGAGAAGGGACACCAGGAGUGGGGCUGCGUGUUCCCAUCGCUGGACCCAGCUGCUGUUAUCCCAGAUGCACAGCUCUGCCAUGGUACCCUAUGUUGGGGGCGAUUCUCUUUCUUUUUUGAACUGCUGGGGAUUGGGUGGAGGGCCCUGUGCACUGUGAUGCCAAGCCCCGUGCUCAGCCAUUUUGAUUUUGAGACAGGGUCUUGCUAUAUAAACCAGGCUGACUGUGAACUCACAGUACAAUAUUUAAUACUCCUCCUGCCCCAGGCUCUUGAGUGCUGGCUGGGAAUACAGGCAUGUGCCACCACAGCCAGCCUCUCUUUCUGUUAUUCCCAACAUGGGUGUGGACAGGAGGGGAGCUGAGCAAGUGAAAGGACACGGUUGAAGGAGGGAGAAGGUAUUAUGGAAGCCUAGGAUCGCAGAUCCACAAAGUUCCUGGGCCUGGGGAUUAUUGGACUUUUAAAAAUUAUUUCUUUUGGGGCUGGGGAUUUAGCUCAGUGGUAGAGCGCUUACCUAGGAAGCGCAAGGCCCUGGGUUCGGUCCCCAGCUCCGAAAAAAAGAACCAAAAAAAAAAUUAUUUCUUUUAUGUAUACA